CCUGGUGGACCCGCUGAAGAUGGCUCCACUACGGAGAUGGCGUCCAUGCCCCAGGUCCUGGUGGACCCGCUGAAGAUGGCUCCACUACGGAGAUGGCGUCCAUGCCCCAGGUCCUGGGGGACCCUCUGAAGAAGGUUCCCCUAUGGAGAUGGUGUCCAUGCCCCAGGUCCUGGUGGACCCGCUGAAGAUGGCUCCACUACGGAGAUGGCGUCCAUGCCCCAGGUCCUGGGGGACCCUCUGAAGAAGGUUCCCCUAUGGAGAUGGUGUCCAUGCCCCAGGUCCUGGGGGACCCUCUGAAGAAGGUUCCCCUAUGGAGAUGGUGUCCAUGCCCCAGGUCCUGGGGGACCCUCUGAAGAAGGUUC